AACGAACGCUGGCGGCAGGCUUAACACACGCAAGUCGAACGCCCCGCAAGGGGAGUGGCAGACGGGUGAGUAACGCGUGGGAACAUCCCCUUUCCUGCGGAAUAGCUCUGGGAAACUGGAAUUAAUACCGCAUACGCCCUACGGGGGAAAGGUUUAUCGGGGAAGGAUUGGCCCGCGUUGGAUUAGCUAGUUGGUGGGGUAAAGGCCUACCAAGGCGACGAUCCAUAGCUGGUCUGAGAGGAUGAUCAGCCACAUUGGGACUGAGACACGGCCCAAACUCCUACGGGAGGCAGCAGUGGGGAAUAUUGGACAAUGGGCGCAAGCCUGAUCCAGCCAUGCCGCGUGAGUGAUGAAGGCCUUAGGGUUGUAAAGCUCUUUCACCGAUGAAGAUAAUGACGGUAGUCGGAGAAGAAGCCCCGGCUAACUUCGUGCCAGCAGCCGCAGUAACAC
rnacentral:rRNA from 1 species